rnacentral:rRNA from 1 species
CGUAGGGGAACCUGCGGAGGGAUCAUUACCGAGUUUACAACUCCCAAACCCAAUGUGAACCAUACCAAACUGUUGCCUCGGCGGGGUCACGCCCCGGGUGCGUCGCAGCCCCGGAACCAGGCGCCCGCCGGAGGGACCAACCAAACUCUUUACUGUAGUCCCCUCGCGGACGUUAUUUCUUACAGCUCUGAGCAAAAAAUUCAAAAUGAAUCAAAACUUUCAACAACGGAUCUCUUGGUUCUGGCAUCGAUGAAGAACGCAGCGAAAUGCGAUAAGUAAUGUGAAUUGCAGAAUUCAGUGAAUCAUCGAAUCUUUGAACGCACAUUGCGCCCGCCAGUAUUCUGGCGGGCAUGCCUGUCCGAGCGUCAUUUCAACCCUCGAACCCCUCCGGGGGGUCGGCGUUGGGGAUCGGGAACCCCUCAGACGGGAUCCCGGCCCCGAAAUACAGUGGCGGUCUCGCCGCAGCCUCUCCUGCGCAGUAGUUUGCACAACUCGCACCGGGAGCGCGGCGCGUCCACGUCCGUAAAACACGCCAACUUUCUGAAAUGUUGACCUCGGAUCAGGUAGGAAUGCACCGUUGAACUUAAGCAUAUCAAUAGCCGGGAGGAA